rnacentral:rRNA from 1 species
AUUGAACGUUGGCGGCAGGCCUAAUACAUGCAAGUCGAACGGCAGCACAGAGAGCUUGCUCUUGGGUGGCGAGUGGCGGACGGGUGAGUAACGCGUAGGAAUCUACCCAGUAGCGGGGGAUAGCCCGGGGAAACUCGGAUUAAUACCGCAUACGCCCCACGGGGGAAAGGCCGGGAUCUUCGGACCGGUCACUAUUGGAGGAGCCUGCGUUGGAUUAGCUUGUUGGUGGGGUAAAGCCUACCAAGGGCUACGAUCCAUAGCUGGUCUGAGAGGACGAUCAGCCACACUGGAACUGAGACAC